ACUGCGCCCUACGUGGGCCCAUAGCAAUGGUGUCACCACCGUAUCUGGGGUGAUGUCUACGGGGAAGGGCUGGGCAAGAGGUCCGAGAGGUGGUCGGAAGGUAAUAAGGCAACAGGGGGGAGUCGGAGGUCCCCCUAUUAUUUAUUAGUCACAGAUGGUAUGGCUCCUGCGCUGAGUGGCCUCCUCGGACUGGGGGACUCGGCCCCGCGAGCAGCUGGGAAGGGGAGCCGCUUGCGGGCUGUACCACCUGGAGCGGGGAGUAGGCCAGGGACAGACUAUACAAGCCUGAGGGGAAUGAAAUGUUUUCUUAAACAUUUAGGGAGAGUCACAACAGUUUGACAAAUACGGUGCUCUCUGAGAGAACUGGAUGCGGAAAACAAAAAUUUGUCUUCUCCAUGAUCACCCCCACAAGUUGUGUGGGAGUGAGUUGGGUCCCGUGGCUGCCACUGAUUGGUUGCGAUAAGUUACGCGGCCCAAUAAGAAAAAGAAUGUACCUUUGCUGGCCUAUAGAAAGGGGAAAGCAGGUGAGUGGUUGUUAGGGGCGGACAGCUGCGUUGCCUAGGCCCUGGUCCCGCUCCAGUUGGCUGAGAGUAGGGAAAGCUCAGUCCUUGGGCGAGUGAUCCCUGGCUGGCCUCCGGGAACGUUUGCCGCGCCAGGACAGGGAGGGACAACCAGGUGUACCCGAGACUGGGAGAUUAAUUCCUGCUAAUCUUGGGACGGAAGUGUUCUGUUUGUUCAAAGGAAUUGACUUCAGCGUCGCAGGCCUGCCCGCAUCUCAGUGUCUGAUUUUGCUGCCCAUGUGUUGUUCAGCUCUGAGCCAUAAGCAAGACCCCCACUGGUCCUGGGCUGCACUGUAUUUUAGUUCGUGUCUGGGUCGCAGCCAACUAAGCCUGCUGAUUAACAAAAUGGAGCUAAUGCAUCCACUUUGUGCCUUGCGUUUUCCUCCGUCAUCUCAUUUAAUCAUCAAUCACUAAGGUUUAUGAGCUAGGGGGUGCUACCCCCUCCCCCGAAACGUGGGGCAAUUGAAAUUCAAAGGCUUACCAAAACCUGUCCUAGGAUUGGCGCCAGGUCUGUCUGCCUCUAAAUCUCUGUGCUGUUGGUCUCAGCCAUCUUCCCUGCCACCUGUUGACUUGACAGUUUCAGCUUAUAACCAGUCAGAGUUGGCUUCCCCGUAAGGCCACGUAUAACUUUUUUUCCCCCUUUUCUUUUUAUUUAUUUAUUUAUUAAUUUUUGCGACAGGGUCUUGCUCUGUCGCCCAGGCUGGAGUGCAUUGGCGCCAUCAGGGCUCAUUGCAGCCUCGACCUCCCGGGCUCAAGCGAUCCUCCCACCUCAGCCCCACAAGGUGUUGGGAUUACAGGCGUGAGCCACAACACCUUGCCUAUCUGUAACUUUCUAGUGACUGCAUCCAAUGGUUGGCUUUCAGCCCUUGCUUGACUCAACCUCUCUCCCCUUCUUGAAAGUCUCCUCCCUAAGCUUC
rnacentral:lncRNA from 10 species